rnacentral:lncRNA from 1 species
AUUACCAAAAAUACUUGAUUUUUAUUUCAUAGCAAAGCUCAGGAGGAAUAGACGAAAAAAGAGAAGAUGGGAGGAUUGAUCAAGAUUAAAAUAAAAAAUUAUGAUCAAAAUAAAAAGAAAAAUAUUUUAAAUUCUUAUGCAAGAACUAAAAAGCCUUGCAAGGUCAAGAAAAAAUUAUAAAAUAAAAUAAAAAAAAAAGCUCAGCAAGGAUAGCACCAUCAAAAUUUUGAAAUGUGCUUCAUUUUACACUUGUGUCGAAAGCCAAGGCACUGAGAUUCCUCCUGGCACAUCUCAAGGAGGCAUAAACGGAUGUCUGGUUCCAUUGAAAAUAACCUCAUGACCAUCAGUGAGCAGGAGCAUGAUAAAGAAAAGACAGGGAGAGAAUUAGGAUGUGAG